GACGAACGCUGGCGGCGUGCCUAAUACAUGCAAGUCGAACGAAGCUUUUUUAACAGGUGCUUGCACCGACUUAAACAACUGAGUGGCGAACGGGUGAGUAACACGUGGGUAACCUGCCCCAAAGCGGGGGAUAACAUUUGGAAACAGAUGCUAAUACCGCAUAACCACAGAAACCACAUGGUAUCUGUGCUAAAGAUGGUUUCGGCUAUCACUUUGGGACGGACUCGGGGCGUAUUAGCUAGUUGGUAAGGUAAUGGCUUACCAAGGCAAUGAUACGUAGCCGAACUGAGAGGUUGAUCGGCCACAUUUGGACUGAGACACGGCCCAAACUCCUACGGGAGGCAGCAGUAGGGAAUCUUCCACAAUGGACGAAAGUCUGAUGGAGCAACGCCGCGUGAGUGAAGAAGGUUUUCGGAUCGUAAAACUCUGUUGUCAGAGAAGAACGUGUGCGAGAGUAACUGUUCGUGCAGUGACGGUAUCUGGCCAGAAAGCCACGGCUAACUACGUGCCAGCAGCCGCGGUAA
rnacentral:rRNA from 1 species